rnacentral:tRNA from 1 species
AACAGUAUAUUUAAUGUUUGAUAAUAUUUACUCUGCAAGUAAAAGUUGGGUUUAUUUUUGGCUCUACUGUUG